UGGGAAUAUUGCACAAUGGGCGCAAGCCUGAUGCAGCCAUGCCGCGUGUGUGAAGAAGGCCUUCGGGUUGUAAGCACUUUUCAGCGAGGAGGAAGGUGGUGAGCUUAAUACGCUCAUCAAUUGACGUUACUCGCAGAAGAAGCACCGGCUAACUCCGUGCCAGCAGCCGCGGUAAUACGGAGGGUGCAAGCGUUAAUCGGAAUUACUGGGCGUAAAGCGCACGCAGGCCGGGUUUUGUUAAGUCAGAUGGUGAAAUCCCCCGGGCUCAACCUGGGAACUGCAUUUGAAACUGGCAAGCUAGAGUCUCGUAGAGGGGGGUAGAAUUCCAGGUGUAGCGGUGAAAUGCGUAGAGAUCUGGAGGAAUACCGGUGGCGAAGGCGGCCCCCUGGACGAAGACUGACGCUCAGGUGCGAAAGCGU
rnacentral:rRNA from 1 species